GCCCAGAUGGGAUUAGCUUGUUGGUGAGGUAACGGCUCACCAAGGCGACGAUCCCUAGCUGGUCUGAGAGGAUGACCAGCCACACUGGAACUGAGACACGGUCCAGACUCCUACGGGAGGCAGCAGUGGGGAAUAUUGCACAAUGGGCGCAAGCCUGAUGCAGCCAUGCCGCGUGUAUGAAGAAGGCCUUCGGGUUGUAAAGUACUUUCAGCGGGGAGGAAGGUGUUGUGGUUAAUAACCGCAGCAAUUGACGUUACCCGCAGAAGAAGCACCGGCUAACUCCGUGCCAGCAGCCGCGGUAAUACGGAGGGUGCAAGCGUUAAUCGGAAUUACUGGGCGUAAAGCGCACGCAGGCGGUCUGUCAAGUCGGAUGUGAAAUCCCCGGGCUCAACCUGGGAACUGCAUUCGAAACUGGCAGGCUUGAGUCUUGUAGAGGGGGGUAGAAUUCCAGGUGUAGCGGUGAAAUGCGUAGAGAUCUGGAGGAAUACCGGUGGCGAAGGCGGCCCCCUGGACAAAGACUGACGCUCAGGUGCGAAAGCGUGGGGAGCAAACAGGAUUAGAUACCCUGGUAGUCCACGCCGUAAACGAUGUCUACUUGGAGGUUGUGCCCUUGAGGCGUGGCUUCCGGAGCUAACGCGUUAAGUAGACCGCCUGGGGAGUACGGCCGCAAGGUUAAAACUCAAAUGAAUUGACGGGGGCCCGCACAAGCGGUGGAGCAUGUGGUUUAAUUCGAUGCAACGCGAAGAACCUUACCUGGUCUUGACAUCCACAGAAGAAUCCAGAGAUGGAUUUGUGCCUUCGGGAACUGUGAGACAGGUGCUGCAUGGCUGUCGUCAGCUCGUGUUGUGAAAUGUUGGGUUAAGUCCCGCAACGAGCGCAACCCUUAUCCUUUGUUGCCAGCGGUUAGGCCGGGAACUCAAAGGAGACUGCCAGUGAUAAACUGGAGGAAGGUGGGGAUGACGUCA
rnacentral:rRNA from 2 species